UACAGAGGUCCCAAGCGUUGUUCGGAUUCAUUGGGCGUAAAGCGCACGUAGGCGGCUUGGUAUGUCGGGUGUGAAAUCCCCGGGCUCAACCUGGGAACUGCAUCCGAAACUGCCUUGCUAGAGUAUGGGAGAGGGAAGUGGAAUUUCCGGUGUAGCGGUGAAAUGCGUAGAUAUCGGGAGGAACAUCAGUGGCGAAGGCGACUUCCUGGACCAAUACUGACGCUCAGGUGCGAAAGCGUGGGGAGCAAACAGG
rnacentral:rRNA from 1 species